rnacentral:rRNA from 1 species
GACGAACGCUGGCGGCGUACCUAAUACAUGCAAGUCGAACGAGUGGCGGACGGGUGAGUAAUGUCUGGGAAACUGCCCGAUGGAGGGGGAUAACUACUGGAAACGGUAGCUAAUACCGCAUACCAUCGGAUGUGCCCAGAUGGGAUUAGCGAGUAGGUGGGGUAACGGCUCACCUAGGCGACGAUCACGAGCUGGUCUGAGAGGAUGACCAGCCAACCUGGAACUGAGCCCCGGUCCAGACUCCUACGGGAGGCAGCAGUGGGUAAUAUUGCACACUGGGCGCAAGCCUGAUGCAGCCAUGCCGCGUGUAUGAAGAAGGCCUUCGGGUUGUAAAGUACUUUCAGCGAGGAGGCGUUACUCGCAGAAGAAGCAUCGGCUAACUCCGUGCCAGCCGCCGCGGUAAUUC